CUUAUCAAUUAGUACAUGACAGUACGUGGGGAAUGUGUUAUUUCUAUCUGAACAAAGAAAGUAGAUGCUUUACACUUGGAACUGACAAGUUGCCGACCACAUUCAUUGUUUCGUGGUGCAUAAGGGUGGUGGAAUUGUGAGGGAAUUAUGUCAAGGUCAGAAUACGUGUAUCUGUAGACACACCUCCACUACACCUUCAUUUCUUUCAUCUUACACACGAACAAAUAGCGAAUGAAUAGCGUGCUAUUCUCAUGCUAAAUUCAAGGUCAGAAUACGCAUGGAGAGAAAAGUGCAUAAAAAAAGGGAAUAUGUUCCAUGAAUGCACGCUUAACUCUGGUCGGAAUUCCCCGUUAUGAGACUCGAUCUUCCCCAGAGAAGUGUCCUGUUUGGUGGGACACAGAUCUAUCCAUGUCCCCCUCCUGAGUCUGGUUCUCUGGUACACGGUCAUGACAAAUUGCACUCCCAAGGAAGGGCUUGGUUAACUGGAAGGGCUUGGUUAUAACUGGAAGGGCUUGGUUAUAACUGGAAGGGCUUGGUUAUAACUGGAAGGCUUGGUUAACUGGAAGGCUGGUUAACUGGAAGGGGCUUGGUUAACAGGAAGGGCUGGUUAACAGGAGGGCUUGUUAACAGGAAGGGCUUGGUUAACAGGAAGGGCUUGGUUAACUGGAAGGGCUUGGUUAACAAGGAGGGCUUGGUUAACUGGAAGAGCUUGGUUAACUGGAAGGGCUUGGUUAACAGGAAGGGCUUGGUUAUAACUGGAAGGGCUUGGUUAACAGGAAGGGCUUGGUUAUAACUGGAAGGGCUUGGUUAACAGGAAGGGCUUGGUAUAACGGACGUGUAACGGAAGGGUGGUUAUAACUGGAAGGCUUGGUUACAGGAAGGGCUUGGUUGAACUGGAAGGACUUGGUUAACAGGAAGGGCUUGGUUAUAACUGGAAGGACUUGGUUACUGGAAGGCUUGGUUAAAGAAGGGCUUGGUUAAAGGAAGGGCUUGGUUAACUGGAAGGGCUGGUUAACUGAAGGCUUGGUUAACAGGAAGGGCUUGGUUAACAGGAAGGGCUUGGUUAACUGGAAGGGCUUGGUUAACGGGAAGGGCUUGUUAACAGGAAGGGCUUGGGUUAUAACUGGAAGGCUUGGUUAACAGGAAGGGCUUGGUUAUAACUGGAAGGCUUGGUUAACAGGAAGGGCUUGGUUAUAACUGGAAGACGGUUUAACAGGAAGGGCUUGGAUAACUGGAAGGGCUUGGUUAACGGAAGGGCUUGGUUACUAGGAAGGACUUGGUUAACAGGAAGGGCUUGGUUAUAACUGGAAGGACGUGGUUAACUGGAAGGGCUUGGUUAAAGGAAGGGCUUGGUUAAUAGGAAGGCUUGUGAACUGGAAGG
rnacentral:lncRNA from 1 species